rnacentral:rRNA from 1 species
CACNUUAGUCGCUGGACCUGACCGUGUGUUAGCUGCCUCCUUGCGGUUAGCGCACUACCUUCGGGUAAAACCAACUCCCAUGGUGUGACGGGCGGUGUGUACAAGGCCCGGGAACGUAUUCACCGCGGCAUGCUGAUCCGCGAUUACUAGCGAUUCCAACUUCAUGCACUCGAGUUGCAGAGUGCAAUCCGAACUGAGAUGGCUUUUGGAGAUUAGCUCACACUCGCGUGCUCGCUGCCCACUGUCACCAAAA